rnacentral:rRNA from 1 species
AUACGGAGGGUGCGAGCGUUAAUCGGAAUUACUGGGCGUAAAGCGCGCGUAGGCGGUUUGUUAAGUCGGAUGUGAAAUCCCUGGGCUCAACCUGGGAACUGCAUUCGAAACUGGCUGACUAGAGUCUGGUAGAGGGUGGUGGAAUUCCUAGUGUAGCGGUGAAAUGCGUAGAUAUUAGGAGGAACAUCAGUGGCGAAGGCGACCACCUGGACCAAGACUGACGCUGAGGUGCGAAAGCGUGGGGAGCAAACAGGAUUAGAAACCCCUGUAGUCC